rnacentral:rRNA from 1 species
CAGUCGCCACGGUAAUACGAAGGGGGCUAGCGUUGUUCGGAAUUACUGGGCGUAAAGCGCACGUAGGCGGACAUUUAAGUCAGGGGUGAAAUCCCGGGGCUCAACCCCGGAACUGCCUUUGAUACUGGGUGUCUAGAGUAUGGAAGAGGUGAGUGGAAUUCCGAGUGUAGAGGUGAAAUUCGUAGAUAUUCGGAGGAACACCAGUGGCGAAGGCGGCUCACUGGUCCAUUACUGACGCUGAGGUGCGAAAGCGUGGGGAGCAAACAGGAUUAGAUACCCCCGUAGUCCCUGUCUCUUAUAU